rnacentral:rRNA from 1 species
UACAGAGGUUUCAAGCGUUGUUCGGAUUCAUUGGGCGUAAAGGGUGCGUAGGCGGUGCGGUAAGUCGGGUGUGAAAUCUCGGGGCUUAACUCCGAAACUGCAUUCGAUACUACCGUGCUUGAGGACUGGAGAGGAGACUGGAAUUUACGGUGUAGCGGUGAAAUGCGUAGAUAUCGUAAGGAAGACCAGUGGCGAAGGCAGGUCUCUGGACAGUUCCUGACGCUGAGGCACGAAGGUCAGGGGAGCAAACGGG